rnacentral:lncRNA from 1 species
AGGCUCUAUGUCAGGCAUUUUACUCCAGCCAUUUUCCUUGAGAUAACUUGGAGCAAACAAAAUGUUGUCCUUCUGUGCCUACUUCAAGGUUUAAAAUCAGAAUUGUCCCAAACAGGAAAAUGUUAUUUGAGAAGAAUUAUGUCCCAACAGUGUUUGAGAAUUAGACGGCCAAUUUUGAAACUGACAUACAAAGAAUAGAGUGGAGUCUGUGGCACACUUCGGGUAAGAGUGUCAUGGGACCUUGCGGUGCUUGGGGCAGCUUUCCAGCAGCACGGGGGGCCGGAGGGGGGGGCGGCUGAUGCGUGGCAUGCCUCAAGCACCCAACAGCGCACCAACAGCGCACCACCAGCACACUCUGUGACCCUGGUUUA